CUGAAGUUAUGCCAGUUAUUGUUGCCGGCCUUUUGUGUCUGAAGGACACCUCUGUCAUGAUGGUACGGAUGAUCUCUAUGGAGGGGUUAGGUCUAUAAGAUAAUAGCCGGGUCCUCAUCUCCCUCUGGAAGUCUGUUUCAUUGAUUAAGCCAGUGAACACAGUGCUGGCACAAUCUCCCUCCAUUAGUUCAGCCACGAUGGUAACCUUUGGCCUAUUGCUGGC